rnacentral:rRNA from 1 species
CCUACGGGCGGCUGCAGUGAGGAAUAUUGGUCAAUGGUCGGGAGACUGAACCAGCCAAGUCGCGUGAGGGAUGAAGGUACAGAGUAUCGUAAACCUCUUUUGUCAGGGAACAAAGGCGGGGACGUGUCCCCGGAUGAGUGUACCUGAAGAAAAAGCAUCGGCUAACUCCGUGCCAGCCGCCGCGGUAAUACGGAGGAUGCGAGCGUUAUCCGGUUUUAUUGGGUUUAAAGGGUGCGCAGGCGGUCUGUUCAGUCAGCGGUCAAAGCCCGGGGCUCAACCCCGGCCCGCCGUUGAAACUGGCAGUCUCGAGUUGGAGAGAAGUAUGCGGAAUGGGCGGUGUAGCGGGGAAAUGCAUAGAUAUCGCGCAGAACUCCGAUUGCGAAGGCAGCAUGCCGGCUCCACACUGACGCUGAGGCACGAAAGCGUGGGUAUCGAACAGGAUUAGAUACCCCUGUAGU